rnacentral:misc_RNA from 1 species
AGUUGAGAGAGAGAGAGAGAGAGUAAAGAAGUACAAUAAGUUCAGAUUUGAUUGAAAGUAUAUCUCUCUCUCCAUUUGAAAUUUCGGAAGAAAAAAAGUAUUAUGACAAGAAGAUGCAUAUACCAAUCUUUGAACAUUGUUCUCUUAAUAGCAAAAAGACCUUGAUUCUUGAUAUGAAAGAAAUAGUCAAUUAAAUCAACCAGAGUAGAAAGAAAGCCCACAACUCUUCUGAAAUUCAGAUCUGUUUCUACCAACUAUCAAGACCUUAUAAAUACUAACUAGCAAAUUGAACUUUAAAAUCUGAACACGCAUUAAAGAGUUACAGAACAAUUUUCUGUCAAAGAAAUGGGAUGCGUAAAAGCAAGCAUGCAUUUCCACGUUUCUAAUA